rnacentral:rRNA from 1 species
GCGGUGAGCAUGUUGGUUUAAUUCGAAGCAACGCGAAGUAACCUUACCGAGGUCUUGACAUCCCGAUGCUAUUUCUAGAGAUAGAAAGUUACUUCGGUACAUCGGUGACAGGGUGGUGCAUGGUUGUCGUCAGCUCGUGUCGUGAGAUGUUGGGUUAAGUCCCCGCAACGAGCGCAACCCCUAUUGUUAGUUGCCAUCAUUCAGUUGGGCACUCUAGCGAGACUGCCGGUAAUAAACCGGAGAAGGUGGGGAUGACGUCAAAUCAUCAUGCCCCCUUAUGACCUGGGCUACACACGUGCUACAAUGGUUGGUACAACGAGUUGCGAGUCGGUGACGGCGAGCUAAUCUCUUAAAGCCAAUCUCAGUUCGGAUUGUAGGCUGCAACUCGCCUACAUGAAGUCGGAAUCGCUAGUAAUCGCGGAUCAGCACGCCGCGGUGAAUACGUUCCCGGGCCUU